UUCAUCAUGCGACUUAAUAAGGUAGAAUUGUAAUACUGGCUACAAUUCAGAUGGUGACAGGUGGCAGAGCAAGCACACAAUGGAAUUUUCCAUCUGUUCUCUACUUUCUAUCCAAGGCUCAAAGAGCAGAGUGUGUUUUGUUAUAUACUCUUCAAACACUUUUCUCCAUCUAAACACCAUUUAAAAAUAUUUUUAUACUUCAGCUUACAGGAGACUUACAAAUCUUGAAGGUCAAAAUCUCCUGCUCAUCUCACCUUUUUUUUGUGAAAGCACACUGGCUCAUUCCUUAUGAAGAGUUGAAUUCUGGCUUGGGCUUUUGUACUUUAUCUCGGGAAAAUAUCAUAGCUUCCAACAGUUUUACAAAAAGCAGAAUGUAUGUAUCCAUAAAGAGUAAAACAUAUAAAGAGGAUUGGUUUACUUUGUACUCAUUGAAUUGCUAAAGGCAUUAAAGACAGCCUCACUUUGUUAUUAUUAAUAGUUUUGCAGGGUUUAGAUUUUGAUGGUACUCAUUAUAGAAGCAAGAUUAUAAGACUAAUAAAGAGCAUAACUUAUAGAUGGAGGGUUGCCAGUUUUAAAUUUUGUAUAUAAGGGGAAGUAUUGUCUAUUUUGGAUGAAAAUGGUGAGAUUUUGAAUUAAAAUUUUAGUUUUUUUCCUAUUUAAUUUUCCAUGAACCCCUCUUCAUACUCCAUUUUAAUGCAGUAAAGUUUACAAACCAUGGAAGAGGCCAUAGAAGAGGCAGAAAAUAUGUUGUUAUAAUUUUUUAGGGAAAUUUCCUUCUUUCUCUGAGCACUUGGGAAGUACUCUUAGUAAAUAUUAAAAACUAUAUUUUCAUCUGUUUAAUUGUAAGUGAAUUUAUCUGAGUGAAUGGGUAAAAUCUAGCAAUUCCAUUUUUCUUCAACAAUUAUUAAAUACUUAAUAUAUGUAAGGUUCUGGGCUAUGUACUGUAUACAUGUGCAAAUUUAAAAAUGUCUCUGUUGUUGAGAAGCUUGCAGAGUUUCUAGGAUGAAAGAGCAAAUAAAGAAAUAAUGCAUCUAAGGCAGGGAAGAUAAACUGGGAUUCAGCUGUGUCCCAGUGGCCCCCAAACCUGGAUAUCCCAGAAAGAUCAUCUAGGGUACUUACUAAACUUACAGAUGGGUCUGGGUUUUGUCAAAGGCAGCUCUGAUUCUAAAAAUCAGGGUCGGCUGGGGUUAAUUUAAAAGAUGACCCAGAUGAUGCUGAACAGAGAUCCAUGAAAAGGUUUCAGAGAUCCUGAAGAAGGAGAAGUGAAAGAUCUCUCCUUGAUUUGGUAAGCAACAGGAAGAUUUUUGAAAAGAUAAAUGAUAUAUUAACAGAAGAGUGCUUUUAUAAGAUUCUUCUGGCCUGAGAAAGAAUAUACCAUAGCACUGAAAAUGCAGUAUAGAAGAGGGACAUGUGAAAUAAACAUUGGACAUGUUGAAUGGUUAAGGCUUGGCAAGAAGUUGGGGGCAUGGGACCAAGGAAGAUUGGGGUAUUUUUGACAACAGUUUCUACUGGAGUAAUAGAGAUGUUGGAAUGGACAGUGGAAUAAUGCACAUAGGUAGUCAACUGGCUACUGAGUUUGACCUAUAACAUCAAAUCGAUUUUAUCUGUGUUGAAUUUAAGGUUCUAAAAGACCACCUCGACAGAGAUGACUAUUAGAUACUAAUGCUAACACCUCUGACAGUCAAAAAUGAGAAAGAUUUUGGAUGAUAAAGUAUUCUAGUUUAAAACAUAGAUGAUCUCUGAGAGAGACUAUGGAAAAGCAAUUAAGACUAAUAAUUUUGCCAAGAUCUGUAUUAUGAAUCAGGAGAGAGUAAUCUCUAUAGAAAAAGGUAUGGUAGAGGUCAGUCAGAGAAUUUAAAAAACUGGGUAUAAUUGGCAAUGUGAAACACUCCAGAACAGCUGAAGAAGGUGAGACUUAAAGUUUGGACUUCCUGUGUGAGAAGUCAGUAAUUACUAGAGGAAGGAUAUUUCUCAUUUGCAAUCCUGGAACAAAACAAAAUACAACUGAUUAAGGGAUGAGUGACUAGUUAUCAAGAGGAGGCAGAGGUGUAGAAAGCAUUUAUUUCUUAUUUUGUUGUGGAAGAGAACAGUAGAGCAAGAAAUUAAUAAAAUACUAGUGAGGAAAAGCAUAGCUGAAAGAACUAUACCCAAGAAAGCUAGGUGUACGUGUGAGAGAGAGAGUGUGUGUGUGUGCGCAUGUGCAUGUGCAUGCUCGUGUGCAUGUAUGUGUAGAAACAGUUUGCUACUGCAUUGGCAAGGUGGGAGGUGUUCUUUCUCAGAAAAAAAAAUCAGUGAGUGAAGAAAGGAAAUAAAAAUGCUAGGAAAGUGUGGCUAAAAUACAUUAAACUUUAUGGGGCUUGACUGACAGUAUAGUAACAUCCUGAAUAUAUGGGGCAGAAAAGGAUUCUUACAUAACCUUGAUAUUUUGAGCUUGAUAACUCACGAAAAGGUGAUGCUAUUACAAGGGUAAGAAGAAAGGAUACAGAUUGCAUUGAGGAGAAAGAUGAUGUAACCUCCUUGGGUGAUGGGGUUUCUGGGUGCCAUGAAGGUGUACCUGAAAGAUUUGUCCAGGCAAUUAAGUGACUAUAAUCAAGAGCCAACAUAUUCACUGAAACUCACUUAAUAGUCAUUUGCAAAGAAGUGGGGGUUGAAACUGGGGAAUACAAUAAAACAAAGGACAAACCAGGGAAAAAGAGGGGAAGAAGUUUAGUACUUAUAAUUUUUUGACAUACAGGGGAUUAGGUAGAGUGUUAGGCAAGGAUGAAACUGGGAAGGAGCAGAAAUAAAGAAAAGAGAGAAUCCUGGAGCUAUACAUGACAUCUAAGAGAGGAGACAGUUCAAGGAGAUGACAGUUUUUAAUUAUAACAAACAUAGCCAAUAUUAAGAAUAAAGGAAAAAUUUUAGAAUAUAUAAACCCCAUAUAUAUAAAAACCUCAUGGUUUUUAAUGUCAUCGGAUGUCUUCAAUGAAAGCUAUUUUAACUAAGUAGAAAAAAAGGAAACUAGACUAAAAUAGGUUGAAGGGAGAGUGUCAGACAAAUAGCAAAUGUGGAAACCACUGAAUAUAGACUUUUUUGUGAAAUUUUGAUUGUGGGGAACUACAAGGUAAUACAUGAGAGUUUUUAAAUAUAAAAAACAAGUUGAAAUAAAGCUUAGAUGUAGAGAAAAAUCUUUACUAAUCCUACCACUGCCAUGCUAUGCUCCAUCACUAAGUGCUAUAUUUCCUUGUUUCUAUCAUGUACAUUUUCACUUUUAUUAUGGCAAUGCUUUUUAAAAGAUGGUAUUAAACAGAUUUUAUAAAAGAAAGUAUCUUACAGUGGAGGAAUAUAUAGUUAAUUUUCCCAUGGAAAGCUUUUCUCAAGUAUAGGAAUGGGAGAAGGGAAACUGAGAAGGAGAAACAGAAGAUAAAAGCUAUGAAGGGGGAGUUCUUCUGUUGUGCAGUGGGUUAAGGAUCUGGCAUUGUCUUUGCAACAGUUGUGUUGCCGCUGUACAUGGGUUUCACCCCUGGCCCAGGAACUUCUGCAUGCUGUGGGCAUGGCAAAAAAAAAAAAAGAAAGGAGCAAAGUUCCCAAAAGAGAUUUGAUAAGAGAAGUUCAAAAACAGAAGUGGGUUUGCAAACAGGUGGGAUAUGUUCCCCUUUACACACAGGAAGAUGUUGGAAUUGAGAAAUAUGAGGAGUUUGGCAGCCAGGAUAUAGGGACUGGCACCCUCCUGGAUCUUAAAAUCAGCAAGAUUGUUGGCACCAUGGUCUUCUAUAAAUGUUGCAAUUGUUUCAUAAUAAUUGUUUAUGUGUGGAGAACUGCAUGAAUCCUCCAGUCAAACUCUCAGCAUUUAUUGAUUUGGCUUUUCCUACAAUUACUCUGCUACAGAAGAACAGAAUCCUAGAUUAUUGGAUAAGGUGAAGCUUUCAGCAAUUCUAGCUAGGCUGUUAUUGCUUUUCUUAUCUAUUGUAGACUUUGUGCACAGAGUAACCAAGUUAUGUACAGGGAAUUUUACAAUCACAUGCCAGAAUUUGGUUCUAAAGUAUUAUUCAUUUCUCAAAAUAUUACUUCUAGUCUUUUGUGAGAAUCAGCAGUAUCUUGUUAUUUACAGUGGUGAUAAUAUGAAAAUUGCUUUAGUAUGCCAUAAACAUAUUCAGUGUCUCCAAAAGUUUCCUCCUAUCAUCUUUAUUUAUUACUCUCUGUGUAUGUGUAUAUAGGAGCACUUAACCUAAGAUCUGUCCUCUUAGCAAAUGUCCAGGUAUUUAAUACAGCAUUGCCAGGGAUCGAACCCACACCUUCAUGGUUCCUAGUUGGAUUCGUUAACCACUGAGCCAUGACAGGAACUCCGAGGGAAUGUAAGUUGGUAUAGCCACUGUGGAAAACAAAGCGGAAAUUUCUCAUAAAACUAAAAAUAGAAGACAUGCACUCCUGAGCAUAUUUCUGGACAAAACUAUAAUUCAAAAAGGUACAUGCACUCUUAUGUUCAUAGCAGCACUAUUUACAAUAGCCAAGACAAGGAAAUAAUCUAAAUGUCCAUUGACAGAUGAAUGGAUUAAGAAGAUGUAGUACAGGAGUUCCCAUCGUGGCUCAGUGGUUAACGAAUCCGACUAGGAACCAUGAGGUUGCGUGUUCAAUCCCUGGCCUUGCUCAGUAGGUUUAGGAUCUGGCAUUGCCGUGAGUGGUGGUGUGGAUUGCAGACACAGCUCAGGUCUGGCAUUGCUGUGGCUCUGCAGCCACAGUUCUGAUUAGACACCUAGCCUGGGAACCUCUGUUUGCUGCGGGUGCAGCCCUAG
rnacentral:lncRNA from 1 species